CAUGCAGUCGAGCGGGGAGAUGUAGCUUGCUACAUUUUCUAGCGGCGGACGGGUGAGUAAUGCUUAGGAAUCUGCCUAUUAGUGGGGGACAACAUUCCGAAAGGAAUGCUAAUACCGCAUACGCCCUACGGGGGAAAGCAGGGGAUCUUCGGACCUUGCGCUAAUAGAUGAGCCUAAGUCAGAUUAGCUAGUUGGUGGGGUAAAGGCCUACCAAGGCGACGAUCUGUAGCGGGUCUGAGAGGAUGAUCCGCCACACUGGGACUGAGACACGGCCCAGACUCCUACGGGAGGCAGCAGUGGGGAAUAUUGGACAAUGGGCGAAAGCCUGAUCCAGCCAUGCCGCGUGUGUGAAGAAGGCCUUUUGGUUGUAAAGCACUUUAAGCGAGGAGGAGGCUACCGAGAUUAAUACUCUUGGAUAGUGGACGUUACUCGCAGAAUAAGCACCGGCUAACUCUGUGCCAGCAGCCGCGGUAAUACAGAGGGUGCGAGCGUUAAUCGGAUUUACUGGGCGUAAAGCGUGCGUAGGCGGCUUUUUAAGUCGGAUGUGAAAUCCCUGAGCUUAACUUAGGAAUUGCAUUCGAUACUGGGAAGCUAGAGUAUGGGAGAGGAUGGUAGAAUUCCAGGUGUAGCGGUGAAAUGCGUAGAGAUCUGGAGGAAUACCGAUGGCGAUGCAGCCAUCUGGCCUAAUACUGACGCUGAGGUACGAAAGCAUGGGGAGCAACAGGAUUAGAUACCCUGGUAGUCCAUGCC
rnacentral:rRNA from 1 species